UACGUAGGGUGCAAGCGUUGUCCGGAAUUAUUGGGCGUAAAGAGCUCGUAGGUGGUUUGUUACGUCUGCUGUGAAAUCCUAGGGCUUAACCCUGGGCUUGCAGUGGAUACGGGCAGACUAGAGGUAGGUAGGGGAGAAUGGAAUUCCUGGUGUAGCGGUGAAUGCGCAGAUAUCAGGAGGAACACCGGUGGCGAAGGCGGUUCUCUGGGCCUUACCUGACACUGAGGAGCGAAAGCGUGGGGAGCAAACAGG
rnacentral:rRNA from 1 species